rnacentral:rRNA from 1 species
UACGUAGGGUGCAAGCGUUAAUCGGAAUUACUGGGCGUAAAGCGUGCGCAGGCGGUGAUGUAAGACAGGUGUGAAAUCCCCGGGCUUAACCUGGGAACUGCAUCUGUGACUGCAUCGCUGGAGUGCGGCAGAGGGGGAUGGAAUUCCGCGUGUAGCAGUGAAAUGCGUAGAUAUGCGGAGGAACACCGAUGGCGAAGGCAAUCCCCUGGGCCUGCACUGACGCUCAUGCACGAAAGCGUGGGGAGCAAACAGG